CUUGACUCAAUUGAGUCCAUAAUACAUUCCACGCAAUUCUUCAAACAACUCAACUCAAUCUACUACAACAUAAGGAGAUUCAAUAUCAGUGCUGAGUAAAGGCUAAGUUCGCAACUUAAACUAGUAGCUCGUUUACGUAAAUUUGGGCAGAAUCUCCCUUAUAACAAGGCCCUCAUCCAAUACGAUAUACAGAAAAUAAUAAUAACACAACAAUAACAACAUGUAUGCAUCAUGUUCUAACCUUAUCUCUAUCAAAAUAUACCACAAAAAGCCCACACACCCUAAUCGCUUCAUACAUAAAACGACAACCAAAGUAGUGUCAAACAACAUAAAAAAUAUAAUGACGAACGACCAGCCAACCACCCUGACAUUAUAUGGUGUUUAUCCACACCCUUUCUCCUCUCAAACUCCAUAAAAAUAGUAGCAAAAGAGGCAACCCAAAAGAAACACGAAACGGCCCACAAAACAGUCCCACAAGUUUAGCAACUCAAAAUUGAUUUUUCAGUUUACUAAAGCACGUUUUGACUUGUCUUUUAUGUUUAAUUGAGAAACACAACCAACAAUACAUAAUUAAGACUCUUAUCCAAUAAAUCAGCCAUGAAUUCAAAUUAAAAAUAAGUUUACAACCAGACAACAAUGUUGCAACAACAAACAACAUACCACUCUUUCGAAACUCGCUAGGUCUAGCCUUUACGAUCGAGUUACAACUUAUACAAGCAUAGAUAAUGGAAGAAGAAGCAAAAAUUUACCUUGGAUUGAGUAGAACCCACAAAAACUAGUCCUUCUUCAUAAAAUAUCAGUCCCCUAAUGCUGCUACAAGAAGUAGAAAGAGAAACUAGCAAGCUGUCCGAGGUUUUCGGCACUAGAAUCACAUUGUAACACCCAAAAUAACCUAGGGUUUGUGUGAGAUUUUUGGGGAGGAGUUGCAGGAGUUAAAUAUGAUUUUCUUGGUAAAAAAGAUGGCUAAAAUAAAUGAGUUGAUAAGCCCUUAAAAGUCCCCUCUUGGCCAAUUUUGGAGCUUUUAGUUGAGGCCUCUCCUUUUGGCAAGUAGGUGAUGCACCUACUUGUGACCUACCAGUCUGCGCAGUCUCGCAAAAACGUGAAUAUCUCUCUACUCCAAUGAUGUAUCAAUGAAUAGUUUACUUUGUUGGAUACUAGACUCAUAGAUAAUUAAUUUGGUAGGUAGAUCAUCCCGUAGUUCCAUGUAAAUUGGGAUAAAUGCUCAGCUACAUUUGACCUAAUGUUUAGCAUAUUUAUGAAUGUAUCUUGUGAUGACCUUUGCCAACUUUUGUUCCACAACUCGCUUGAAUUCNNNUAUCGCUAUUUCAACUAAUUUUGACUCAUUUUACUUUAUUUUGUCACAAAAUGAAAAUUACAAAAAUAUUUCUUCUUUUUAGUUGUUUUUAGUUUAUAUACCUUUCGUAAAACUAAAAAAAAAAUACAAAAAUAGUACCUUAUUUUUAUUUUAAUAUGAUAUUUGAAAAUACAAAAAAAUAGGUUUAUUUUUACGGUCAGUCUUAUUUUAAUAGUUAUUUUACUUAAGUAGGAUUAAUUAGUAAAUGAUUUCAUAUUUUUUAUCUCGUUCACGGAGAAAGAAUAAAAUUUGGGCUCAAACAACCCAUUUUAGGCCUAAUUUUCGGACCUAGCCCAUAAUAACCCAAGCCCAAUACCCCAAAACCCUAGACUUAGACUUAAAAGCAAUCCUAGGACCUAAAAAACGAGGGAGCCGGUUUUAUGAUUCUGAGAAACCCUAGGAGCCCUCUCCUUCUUCUUCUUAAGAACAAACCAGCCGCAGACCUAAGAACCCCCUAUCAUCGUCUUCUUCAACCCACCCAUGGAUAAAAAACCCUAGGCUUCAUCUUCACCACAAAAAAUGCUGCUCACACCUCUAUCGUCUCCCUCAUCUCCAGCCUCAAAAAAUCAGGAGCCACCGGACCUCACGACUCAACCCAGCUCACUAGAAUUCCUCCAUAGCCACCAAGCUCCCUCUUCUCGAAAACAAAAAGUAGCGACCACCAACAGGCGUCCUUCAUAACCAGUCAUAAAACAUGUCUUGUCGAGUUCGUUUGCGGCAUUAUUCUGUCCGGAUCAAGUCGAGUUCAUCACCGUCAUUCUAGCUUAGGUCUUAGUUCGAUAUCCUCAUACAUCUAGCUCACGUUUUUGGCUGUUUGUUUUAGUCGUUACUUCAUACCCUUUCAUCUAGGACAACACUAGAUCCUAAGACUAAGAACGACCUCUCCUGCUCUUCUUCUUCUUCAAUCGUCGACUCGCCGAAAAAACUCCAGCCACCGACGACUAUCUUCAGUCCAAAACGAGAGCAUCGACCAUUGUAUAUUUAUUCCUUCAAUCAAAACAUACAGAGAUCGAUUGGUUUUUUCUGCUUCCUGUUGCCAUAUAUUAACAUAAGAACAUAAGCUGUGAAUCUGAAAAUUAUCCCGUUUUCAAGUGUUUCUGGAUCUCAUCAGUCCUGUUGUUUUGUGUGUCGGUUUUCGAGUUUUCCGGUGCCAAUUCGAGUUCCCGUCUGCAGUCAGUUAAAUUUUUUAGUUCAGAGCAUUGAAACAAUCGAUUUACGGCCAUACAAAGGUCCAGUUCUAAACUCUUGUUCGCCAUUGAAUUUCUAAAUUGUCUUACUGUUGGUGUUUGCCUGAGAUGUAUGUUUGCCUUUGUGUUGCUCUUAUGAUUUUAACAAAUUGAUGUUUCUCAGAUCAAAGAAGUUAGUUGGCCAUUUUAUUUAGUUUUCCUUCUUAUUAGAAGAAUUAAUUGGUUGAAAAUACCAUGAUUUUGGUGACAUCUAAUUUUAGUUAUAAGAAACAAUGUGUCGUGGGGUUUGGGAAUUAAAAGUGAAAACUGCUUUAUUAACUUGACCGCUAUUAGCAUGCUAGGCCGUCAUCACCGUGGUAGGCGAACCUUUAGGUACAUUUUAAUUUAUUAUCGUGAUUAUGUAUACAUUCGCGUGACAUGAUUGCGGUUUCUAAAAUGAAUGUUCGUAGCUUGCUUUAGGCGCGACUUAAUCUAUAACCGUGAUUGUGUACAUUCGCGUGAUAUAAUUACGAUUCUAAAAACAAAACCGGAGUAUACGUUCGCACAACUUCGACUAAAUUUUUCUUAAUAAUAAUAAAGCGUGAUUAAUUGUGGAUACGUACGCGUGGCAUGAUUUUUUACGCGCCAAAUGAAAUGAGUACACGUACGCGUGACUUAUUUUAGGAUAAUUUCUUAAUUAAAUGAGGUAAAUGCACAUAGGUUCUAAAAUAAGGAAUUAGACAAUUUGAUUAAGCCAAGUAUGAUCAAAGCGACCGUGCUAAAACCACAGAACUCAGGAAUACCUAACACCUUCUCCCAGGUUAACAUAAUUCCUUACCCGAAUUUUUGUGUUCGCAGACCGUAAAUAAGAGUCAAACUUCCUCGAUUCGGGAUUUUAAACCAGUGACUUGGGAUACCAUAAAUUAUCCCAAGUGGCGACUCUGAUUUAAUAUAAAUAAUCCCGUUUCGAUUGUCACUUUAAUUGGAAAAACUCCCUUAUAUCCCUUAUGGGUGUAGAAAAAGGAGGUGUGACAACUAUCAUAGGACAAAAAUCACUCAUAACAUAACCUCCUUAUCAUGUUAAGCAUCCUAAUAUCACCCCAAAAGUACAUGUUAUAACAUUCCCAACUUGUCGACAUUCGACGAAACUUAUUUUCUAAAUUUUAUUUAGCUUCUAAGCCUUUCAACCAUCUUGGUAAUUGUUAUCCAUGAUCUUAAAUAUUUUUAAACUCUAUGGUAACAUGAUUAAAUUACUUUAUGUGAUUUCAAAGAAGAUCUCGUUUGUGAGCUUACAUCAAUUGACUUAGGACGUACUCUCACACACAAAAAACAUGGGUUGUAACAUCAUUCCCCCGUUUGGAACAUUCGUCCUCGAAUGUUGACUGAUGCGCUUAUCAGUCUCAUAACUUAUAGCUUUUAUGAAUAUCUUAAUAUUGUCCUUGCCCUCUAGGCCACUACUCUAUGAACAAAUCCAAAGGCCAGGGCAUUCCCCCCCUUAGGCCUCUUCCGCACACCACGACCUAUGGUCGGAAUUCUUCCAAUCUCGUAAUUAUUUCUACCUUCUGUCAUGCAGUUUGAACGACUCUGUCCUUGUGCGGGCGCCUAUGAAACUCUUCUUUCAUAUUUCCUCCAGCUUUUAGCCAACCUCUAGGCCUACUUUGUGAAUAUAUAUAGAACUAUGGCAAGCUGUCGCUCUAGGAAUCUGUAGGUAUACUGAAGUCCUUCACGUGGUACUUUGUCGAACUUACGACUAUUGCUAUCUUUUGUUUCAUAGCCUCGGUUAUCUAUCCUUAUGGAUUUACUGCAUCUAGGUAGGUCAUGCUAUACCAUAACACUUACUUCAUUUUGUUAUUACCGAGGUUUUGCUACCCAACUCUGGGUUACUCUCUCGUAGCUUAUCCUAUAUGUAUAAAUCUAAGUCUUUUAAUACUUCCUCAUUAUUUUUCAUCUUAAGAAUGACAACCUAAUCUUCUCUCAUACUUUUUAACUUUUAUCCGUCCAUCGUUGAUUCAGCUUAAUGUUGAUAUUAAUCUACACCUUAUAACUUGAAACCUCUUACGUAAUACAUUGAAGUUUGUCACUAGGGCUCACGUCUCAUCGGGGAACAUCUUAAGUGAUUUGCCUGAUCUACUUAGGGACGAUACUAUACUUCAAUAACCGUAUUUCAUAGAAUCAUAACAUGAUUCAUCUUAUGGGGGUAUUCUAAUCCUGUGGAAUUCAUGAAACCCAUUCUCUUUAAAUCAUUACUCAAUCAAAGGCCUAAACGUUAUUCUCUUAUCAUUUAUCACAAUUUCACUCUCAUUUUACUACAAGGGAAACAUUCCAUCUUUUCUAAAUUCCCUAGUCUUAAACUCCUCUGAGUUCAUUCAGGCUAUACUGAGCUAUUUAUAACUUACGAAAACCAUUAGCUCUCUUGUUGUGAUGGGUUUAAUCACAAGGACUUACCUAUUCUUGUCACCUUCUCACUCACCUUUUCUUAUCUUUACUCUUGUCUACCUAAAACCUUUUUGCUCUACUAUACUUUAGCUUGUGACCUACACAUAUUUUUUUAUACUACUCGCAACCUCCCUUUAACUUGUUAGCACCAUAAAUUUCCUUAUGUUAUUCUAGAACCUCAAGUGAGACAUCACGUCAUCUAUAACUCUUCUUUUCUCUCUUAACUAGACCUCUCGAUACGUGGAAACCAUAGGCUGGAAGAUAUGCCACUGAUGACACCACUAUCAUUUUUGGAUACUAAAUCACAAUGCUUCUAUCCCUCUAUCUAAAAUUUGGACUAUUCAUAUUCUUUUGCACUUAUGUAUCUCGUACCCCUUUACUCUUACCUUAUCUUUAAAUAUUUCAUCGUAUCUUCUGUCACUUUCAUAACCUCCCUUCCACAUAGGUGGAAUUCACAUCCAUACCUUAAAGGUCUACUAUAAUACUUGCACCUCUUAUGCAUAAACUAUCCGACGAGAGCUUCAUACUAACUUCUGCAAUGUUCUGAAUCACGAUUUCUAUAAUAAUCGGGGUGUAAUAAUCAGACUCCUGAUUCACUUAGCUAAUGUAACUCUUUAGUUUCCUCUUCUAUCUCAACCUUUAAGUAGGCUUAAGCUGUUUUCCAAUUUGUGACUCAAGGUAUUAGUUAUUGCUUUAGCCCUCCGUGGACGCUAUAGAAUAUCCAUGAUAUAACUUUCUAAUAAUUCAAGCUUUUGUCUGUGAUGUGGACUCAAUUCUUUCUUUUAACUUAUACUGCAGUCUCCUAUAGCUGUAGGUAUGUCUGCAUGGAUAACACUCCGAAAUCUUAAGUGCAUUAAUAACAUAACUAACUCUGCGUCAUUGAUCGAAUAAUUCCUUUCGUGCCUUCUCAAUUUUCUUUAAAAGUAAGCAAUUACCUUCCUUAGUCAUUCUGCCACUUGUUGUAUGAAUACUUGGCUUACCUUAGUGCCCACAUAUAUUAGAAUUUAGUGCAACUCAUAUGAUCAUAAAUAUUACUUUUGAUUUUACUUCCCGUUCAUUAAAAGUCAAAAAAUGGUCGCCAAACAUAAAAGUUCCCCAUCAGACGGGGUUUUAGUAGCCAGUCUUGCUAUCCUUUAUGCGUUCGGAUUAUCUCAGGGUGUGAUUCAAAUAUUUUACUUUAUUAUCUUACUUUCCGAUGUAAACCCUUCUAUCUUCAAAAAAUUGAAAAAAAAAUAAUCAAAAAAUCAAAUGAAAUUAAUAUUUCAUUAUCCAGGAAUGUCUCUUUUUUUAGUUCUGUUAAAUGCAAAUUUCAAUAACAUGAUAUGCUUGCGGAUUUCAUGCCUAGAUCCUGAAACGUUGUCAGACCUCGAAAUAAUGAAUAAAGAAUUAGAUCACAAUGAAGAUAAGUUUAAGGAAAAUAAAACAAAGAGUUGGAACAGCUGAAGGAAAAUUGGUUCUAGAUUGGAAAGGUCCAUACAUCUGUCUUGGCAAUGGCUGCAAUGGCCUUCAGUGUCGGAUCAAAUUCCUCAUCUUCACAAAUCAUUCCGACUAUUGGCCCGCUAUUGUGGGCAGGCAACAGAUUGUUCAUCACAUCAAGAGCUUCUUCAUCCUGAAAAACAAUUCUUUUAGAUUCAAUCAAAUUUUCAACUGCCCUUUUGAGGGUCCAACAAUCCUCUGUACUGUGUCCCACUGCUCCAGAGUAGUAGUCACAUCUAGCAUCAGCUCGGUGCAUUAGGGACUCGGGGUUCGGCCGGUUCGGGGCCAUUGGCUGCAAUAGAUUUAGCCUGAUUAGCUUUUGGAAUAAGCUUGAAUACGAUUCACCAAUAGGGGUGAACUGAUUCUUUCUGAAGGGCUCUCUUGGGCGAUGAUUGUAUUGGGGAUCAUUUGGCUGAGGAUUAUAUAGAGUUUGGUAAGGAUGGGAAGUUUUGGGAGGUGGAGCUCAAUUUUGUGGAUAAUGUUGUGGCCACGGGUAAGGUUGCGCGUUCAUCACCGCAUAUGGAGGUGGUACUAUGGCAUAAGCAACAUCUUGAAGGGGAUAAUAAUGUGGUGGGACGAUAAGAGGCACAUAUGAUUGGCUGAAUGACCUGCGGGCCCCCCUCGAGCUUGAAACCAUCAUCGCUCCCUCUUCACUCCCAUUUCUAUUCAUCAAACCAUCUGAACCAUUUUGAACAUCUGGUGAUGUGGAUUUAAAAGUAGCAUGACUCAAGAUUCGACCUGUUUUUAGCCCACUUUCUACCAUCUCCCCAAUUUUGAUAGUCUCAGCAAACGACUUCCCCAUAGCGGACAUCAUGUUCUGGAAGUAGUCUGCCUCUUGGGCCUGUAGAAAGACCGUGAACAUUUCAAUUUCGCCCAUUGGAGGCUUUACCCUGGCAGCUUGCUCACGCCAUUUGACAGCAUAUUCGCGGAAGCUUUCCGUGUUUUUUUUUUCAAAUUGGACAAAGAGUUUCUGGCGGGAGCGAUGUCCACAUUAUAUUGGAACUGGCAGACAAAAUCUAGAGCCAUAUGGUCCCACACAUGCCAAUGGGUAAUUUCUUGAUCCAUAUACCACUCAGAAGAAAUUUCAGAGAGGCUUUCCCCAAAAUAGGCCAUUAGCAGCUCCUCUUUUCCACCAACGCCUCUCAACUGGUUACAAUAUCAUUUCAGGUGAGCGACCGGGUCUCCAUGCCCGUCGUACUUUUCAAAUUUUGGCAUCUUGAAGCCAGCUGGAAAGUGGACAUGGGGAAACAUACAGAGGUCAGAGUAUGAGACACUCUUUUGGCCACUCAGACCUUGCAUGUUUUUCAGGCUUUGUUCCAGGCUCUUCAUCUUCCGAGCCACUUCCUCUUGCUCGGGAUUUUUAACAACCUUUUCUUACUCCCCCGAGAGAUCAUAUUGCGGAGGUUGAGUGAAAGAGUACGGGGUCACAUAUGUUACUUCUGAUUGAAGCUGUGGACCCUAAAAGGUGAACAUUGGAGGCUCAAUAUACGGCCGUGGUAAAGUUAGUUGUACUCUGGUGCAGACUGGUGUCGCAGAGAACAAUAUUGGAGGUACUAUAGAAACUGGUGCCUGGGGGCGAACCACAGAAGGCAUGCCAGGAACAUUAGACAACAUUGGAGGGUGCCCGCAUGGGAUGAGCAGGUUGGACACAUGGGAGUUGGUAACCUCACCUGACCUGGGGAUCAACUCAGGGAACCUAGGGAUUGCACUUGGCAGUUCCCUACCAUUAGACCAGGCGUCCCACAUUUCCAAUAUGCGGAGACGCAACAUAUUAUUCUCUUUAGCAACUGCUGAUUCAAGCUGCAGAAUAGCCGAUGUCGGGCUAUCCUCAGGACCGAUGAUUGGUAGAUUGCUUGCGGAGGCCAUCUGUGACUUGGGAUCUUGUGGAGGGGAGGCUAGACUACCAACAAAACCAACCACCAAAACCUGGCUAGUUUGCACACCCAACAACCUUGUUAGUUUUGAGACAUUUAACAUAUAGGAAAUUGCACGUUGGGAUGCAAUGCACCUAACAGUUAAACGCUUCUACCAUGUGUUUGAACGGUUGCAUGUUUCAUCCCGGCCCUAACUAAACCUUUCAGUAUGUACCUUUUUUCUUUUAAUUUCUGCCUCUCUUUAAGCACUUUUGAUUUUCUCAUUUUGUUUUUAUUGCUCUUUUAUUUUGGCACUCUCCUUUUUUUUUCUUUCUUUUUUUCAUUUUGUCACUCUUUUUUUUUCUUUUUCACUCAGUUUUUGUUUCUCUUUUUUUUUUAGUUUAUUUUUUCACUCAAUUUAUUUUAUAGCUAUGAUCAAAUCCGAUGAGGAUUACCUACGUAUCAUAUCGCCGCAUGAAUCAGAUCCUGCGUAGUUCGGGAAGAUUGGGAAUGGAGUAAAUAAACUAAUUGUUUUUUUACUUUUUAUAAAACUCAAACCAUGAAAGCUUUAAGGCAAAAGAAAAACAUUUUUUAUUUUUGAUUUUUUUGUUUUUUUAUUUCUUUUGGAAUUUUCUAAAUAAAUGCUUUAAAAGAAGAAAGGAGAUAUUUUUUUUGGAUUUUAAAUUUGAUUUUUCUUUUAUUUUCUAAAAGAAAGACUUUUAAAAAUUCCUUUUCUUUUGAUUUGAACUUUGGGAAUUUUAAAAGUAAAAGGAAAAUAUUUUUUUUUGAAUUUUCAUUUGUUUUCUCUUUUCCAAAGAAGAAAGAAAAUAUUUUUGGAUUUUGGAUGUUGCCUCUUCGAAAGAGGGACUUUUAAGAAAUUAUUUUGGAUUUUUGAGUUUUUUUUUUGUUUUUAAAUUACAAAAGUACGAUUUUUUUUUUUGGACUUCAGUUUUUUUAAAUUUUUUUUUGAAAGAAAGACUUUUAAAUAAGGAAAGGAAUUGUUUUUUUAUUCUGAUUUUUUUUGAAUUUUUGGGAAAAACCUCUUGAAAAUGUAGAUUUUUUUUGAAUUUUGAUUUGACUUGUGGAUUUUUGAAAGAAGGACUUUUAAGAAAGAAAUUCGGAUUUCUGAGUUUCUCUUUUUUUUUUUCUUUUUUAAUUUACGAAAGUACUAUUAAAGAAAAGCGAAAAUAUUUUUGGAGUUUAUUUCUCAAUUGUUUUUAUGGACAUUUACAAAAGAAAACUUCUAAAGAAGAAAAGAUUAUUUUUUGAAUUUUUGUUUCUGAUUUUUUUGGUUUUUUUGGGGAAAAAUACUUCAAAAUAAAGGAAACCCGUAUUUUGGAUUUUGAUAUAUUUUUUUAUUUAUUUUUUUUUCAUAUGAAAGACUUCAGAAAGAAGGAAACUAUUUUUUGAGUUUAAAAACUUUUUUUUUUGAAUUUUCUAAGGAAUGAUUUCUAAAGGAGGAACUAAAGGAAGAUAUUUUUGGAUUUUUAAAAAUUGGGGUCAGAACCGAUGAUGUUUGCCUACGUAUCUCACACCCAGUGAGAAUCAGACUCGGUAAUUCGGUCAGUUUUGACAUAGUAAAAAACAUGAUAUUGACUCACUUUUUUUUUUGAAAUACAUUUUCCUCUUUUUUUUUUCUUUUUCAAAAAUUUUGGCGGGGUUCCGAGAUAUUUUCAAAUAUCGGGAUUUUUCAGAACCGGGCGAAUUCUUUAUCCUACCUUACUCUUGAUUUUUCUCUUGAUUUUCUUUUCCUAGCUGGUUAACAUGCAAGCCGAAACAAAUAAAUAUUCAUAUAGCAUGUAGGAUGCAUCAGGAUGGUCGGUGUUUUUGGGUACACUUGUCCUAAACAGACCCAACCCCUGUGUUGAGUCCCCAAGGUCAAAUGCAUGUGAUGCAAAUAAACGUUCCUACUAGGGAUCCGACAUGAGGUUACGUUAUUCUAAGUUUAAACCUGGGGUUGUGUUCUAGACCUGGAUUACCAGAGCGAACAAACUCGAGCCGAAGAGGGGGCAACGUACCGGGAGCACAAAAGUCUGCCCGGCCUUGUUGCUGGCCCAUCCUUAUUCUAUUUGGUAUACCUUCUAACAAAAAAAGUGGGCCACGCGAACGUAUACACCGUUUUUUAGAAGACUCAGAAGAGAAGCGUAAGAAGACAUUUAAAUACAGUUCAAGUAUAUCAAAGCAGUAAAUAAAUGGCAAUUAGCACAUUAGGUCCACAAAAAUAUAGUAAUAUCAACAAUAAAUAAAGUCAAGUAAAAAUUACAUUAACAAGCUCGAAUUCUUGAACCCUGAACCAGAAGUUCUGGGUUCCUAUCCCCAGCAGAGUCGCCAGAGCUGUCACACCUCCUUUUUAUCCGCCUGAGAGGGGAUAUAAGAGAGUUUCUCAAAUUAAAGUGACAUUAUUCGAAAUGGAAUUAUUUUAUUUAAUUUUUUCAGAGUCGCCACUUGGAAUAGUUUAUUUGGUGUCCCAAGUCACCGGCUUAUUUUAAAUCCCAAAUCGAGAAAAUUUUCGACUUUAUUUAAAAGUCUGAGAACCAGAAAUUCUAGAUAAAGAAUUCUAUUAGCCCAAGAGCAGGUGUUAGGCAUUCCCGGGUUCCGUGGUUCUAGCACGGUCGCUUAGCGAUUUAUACUUGCUUAAGUUGUCUAAUUACUUAUUUUAGAACCUAUAUCCAUUUACCUUUUACCGCUUUUAAUUAUUUGAUUAUUCGUAAUUAAAGAAUUGAGUCACGCGUACGUGUACUCAUUUCGUUUGGCGCGUCCAAAAUCAUGUCACGCGUACGUGUCCACAAUUAAUCACGCUUUAUUAUUAUUAAGAAAUUUCGGUUGAAGUUGCGCAAACGCAUACUCCAGUUUUAUUUUUUAGAAUCAUAAUUAUGUCACGUGAACGUGUCCACAGUCAUGAUGAUAUAUUAAAUCGCGCCUAAAGCAAAGUACGAAUGUUCAAGUUAUUUCCUAAAUUUUGAGAUUAUUGCGAAGGCCAUAGAUUUGAAAUUUAUCAUUGUGAAAGAAAUGUAAUUUACCGUUUUGGAACAUGUAUGUACCGGUAACAUUGUUAUAAAGAAAAUGGAGAAGCUUCGGUAUAUAAUGGAAAUGGGCAAAGUUAGUACCUCUAAUGAACUGGGCCUAACAAAACUGAUUCUCAUAUGGCCAAAAUUUUUCUUUUAAUAUCAAAAUUAAUUCCUAAACUCGUUAGCCCAUUUUUGAGUUCAAAUCUCAUUCUCAAUCUUAACAUCCUUGGCCAGCAUCUCAUACAACAUAUUACCAAAUAAACUCUCAGCAAAAGAAAUAUCAAAAUCCAUGAAAAAUAACAGAUGACAUGUAAAUCGUGAACACAAACUCAAGGCAUCGAUUAUUCGUCCGAUAAAUUCAUUUUCACUAGCCAAAUUUAGCAAAGAAUUCACCAAGUAAAUAGACUAAUUCCCAGAAAUGUUAAACAAAUUACACCACAUAACUAUCACAUUUUAAAUCUAAAGUAAAUAAUAGAGGAAAAGUUAGAAAUCAAAACCUCAAUUGCUUUUCUCUAAGAAGCUCGAACUCAAAAAAUAUUGAAACAACGAAGUCAAACUUUCCGAUCAAACUUGAAAGAAAAUCAAACCAACGAACCAGAGACUUCACCGACGACCUCGAACGGACCCUCGCUGACAAACUCUAAACUCGCCGGUUUAAAGGGGGCUAUUUCGCGACUGUUUUGUGGUGAAAUCGGCAACGAUUUGAGAUGCUGUUUCAGGGACGUUUGGUUGGUUUUUACGGCUGGUUUGGGGCUGUUUUUCAGCUGCCUUUAGAGUCGAUUUAGCUGGUGUUUUUGGACUGUUUUGAAUCUAAGUUUCAGCUGCAUUUUUGUGGUAUAUUAAUGGAGUUUAAGGGGGGUUGUUUUGGGGUGUUCAUGGCUAGAAAUGAAGAGGAUGUAUGGUAGUUUUGGAGCAGAAAUAAGUUCAAUCUCGUCGGCCAUGGCUGAUGCAAUCAAGCGACAAAGAGCAAAGCUUCAAAGAUGACUUUUCUUUAUCUCCAUUCCACGCCACUUUCCUUCAAGAUGGAAUAUUUUUGAAUAGUCAAUGCCUGUGUGCUCCUUGGUUAGCGUUUUUUGGAAUUUGUUUUGAUAAAAUUGUCUCGAGUCUUUUUCCAAAAAAGGAUGUUGCCGUUCUAGCGUUUUUAGUGUGUAGGUCCCUUUUAUUUUCGAUGUUAGGGAUUAUUUUAUAGGGGUAGGAAUUAGGUUAGGUCAAAUGGGGAAUGUGUAUGGGCUCAAUGCUUAGGGCUAUUCGAAAUUGGGUCCUAAAAUUGGGCUCUAAGACUCUUAAAAUUGUGGUCCAACACCUUAGUUAGCUCCCUUUAAUAAAAGAUAAAAAUACUAUACAAUGCAAAAACUAAUCCUAAUUAAU
rnacentral:lncRNA from 1 species